AUUGAACGCUGGCGGCAGGCCUAACACAUGCAAGUCGAGCGGCGCGGCGGACGGGUGAGUGAUGCCUAUGAAUCUGCCUGGUCGUGGGGGAUGACGUCCGGAAACGGGCGCUAAUACCGCAUCCUAUCAGAUUAGCCUAGGUCGGAUUAGCUAGUUGGUGGGGUAAAGGCCUACCAAGGCGACGAUCCGUAGCUGGUCUGAGAGGAUGAUCAGUCACACUGGAACUGAGACACGGUCCAGACUCCUACGGGAGGCAGCAGUGGGGAAUAUUGGACAAUGGGCGAAAGCCUGAUCCAGCCAUGCCGCGUGUGUGAAGAAGGUCUUCGGAUUGUAAAGCACUUUAAGUUGGGAGGCGUUACCAACAGAAUAAGCACCGGCUAACUUCGUGCCAGCAGCCGCGGUAAUUC
rnacentral:rRNA from 1 species